ACAGUGAUGGUGUGAAGACCUGAUGUCUUCACUGCUCAGAAACAUGUGUAAAUUAAUAGGCUACUGGGAGAAGAUGAAGAAGCUUUUGCAGAAACAUGAGGAUAUUGUGGGAAAUACUGCUGUUAACCAUUUGGAUUAUAUUGCUGUCUGACACAGAGGUUCUGCAGAUAACGUAAGAUGCUUCUCAAACUUAAGUGAUUGAAAAGCUUUCCAGAUCUGAUAACUGAAAAGAUUUCAAGUGAAACUUCUGGCUCCUAUCCUGGUCUGAAAGCUCUUGAGUGAGUAAUGUAUUAGAAUGGUCUCCACUUCUCCAAGGGGAGCACAAGCUUGAAGUGGGGCAUGCUGUAAGUCACCUGACUUAAGGCAUCAGAGUGAAACUGGCAGAUUCAAAGCUUAACUGCUGCAUUAACUUUUGUCUUCUACUUUGAAGUCAGCUCAUUUUAAAUAGGAAAACAUGCAUCUUUCUUCAUUACCACUAACGAAGGCACUGAAGGAUGAGUCGAUGCCAUUUGUUACAGUCUGCUGUUUGCUAAAUAUGGUACCAGAAGCAGAAAAGAGUGAGCAAGGAAGCUCCUUUGGACAAGCGGGUUCUUGAUAUGAAACAUGAAAGAAAGCAGAGUUGAGUGACUUACUCAAACGCCAUGCUGUGGUCUAAGUCAGCUGUAAGCACUUGGAGCAUC
rnacentral:lncRNA from 1 species